AACGAACGCUGGCGGCGUGCCUAACACAUGCAAGUCGAGCGCGAAAAGAGCAAUCUGAGUAGAGCGGCGCACGGGUGCGUAACACGUGGGUAAUCUGCCUCAAGGUCUGGGAUAACCUUCCGAAAGGUUGGCUAAUACCAGUUAAGCUCACGGUGACUUCGGUCGCUGAGAGAAAAGGGGCCCGAAAGGGUCUCGCCAUGAGAUGAGCCCGNGGCCCAUCAGCAGUUGGCGGGGUAACGGCCCACCAAGGCUACGACGGGUAGCUGGUCUGAGAGGACGAUCAGCCACACUGGAACUGAGACACGGUCCAGACUCCUACGGGAGGCAGCAGGUGGGGAAUUUUGCACAAUGGGCGAAAGCCUGAUGCAGCAACGCCGCGUGUGUGAUGAAGGUCUUCGGAUCGUAAAGC
rnacentral:rRNA from 1 species